rnacentral:tRNA from 1 species
CCGCUUAACGGAUCGGUUAGAGCAUCGCAUUUCUAAUGCGAUGGUCGUCGGUUCGAUUCGGAUAGCCGGC